CUCCUUCUCUGAUUGCUCUGAUGUACUUCAUGGUGAGGCUGGGCUCACACACAUGGUUCUGUGUCCAGAACCACCCUCAUUCAGUCCCAACAAAUUCACGCUGUUUUGAAAAAAUAACAUUUGGAAAGUGUAACUGACCAAAUAUUUUAGUAAUGCACAUUGGUGUAAGAGUGUCUCUGAAAUAUGUAGUUUAAACGAGGAAAUAUUGGGAUGUUCAGAUUAUUUUUCUGGUUUAUGGACACAUCAAAAUGAAAUAUAUACCUUGGAAAAGACUUGUUAAAACACAGGGUGAAUAGUGCCUCUGUUCAGCAGCCAUCAGAAUCUCUGUGGCAGAAGGGAUUGUAGAUAUUACCUAGGUCAACCCAUUUACUGUGGUUUCAUCUGAACCCCUUGUCUGUCCUUAAAACCCCCAGCUCAGAGGACUGAUGCCCCCAGUGAGGGUUAUGAUAAUGCUGAAGACCUACCAGUGCCUGAGGCUGCCCCUGCCUCUUGGAUGAGGAAGGGGGAAGUGCCCCCAGAGGAGGAAAAUGGGAUGAGGGCCUUUCAGGCAGGCUCUUCUCUACAGCUCUCUAGAGGAGUAGCUGGACCUGAGAAAGGAGAAGAUAGUCCCUGGCUGCUCCAGGGGGAAGGGGACCCUGAGUAUGAUGAUACUGAAUUAAAUGUACCUUAAACACUCACUAUAUUUUCCCCCUGAUAUUGCAUUAAAAAUGAGAUAAGAGGGGAUCCCUGGGUGGCGCAGCGGUUUAGCGCCUGCCUUUGGCCCAGGGCGCGAUCCUGGAGACCCGGGAUCGAAUCCCACGUCGGGCUCCCGGUGCAUGGAGCCUGCUUCUCCCUCUGCCUGUGUCUCUGCCUCUCUCUCUCUCUCUGUGACUAUCAUAAAUAAAUUAAAAAAAAAAUAAAACUCUUAAAAAAAAUGAGAUAAGGUCUCAGAUAUUUAAUUGCCUAUAUUUCAAUAGUGACUUAUAAUUGAAUUAUAUGGAAAUUAAUUAAAAUUAAAUAUUCUGAAUAAAGUACUUUUUGCUUUGUUGAUUAUUUAGCAGGUUUUAUCUCCAUUCACAUUUUCCCUCAAAGGAAAUACAAGGUGAACGAACUGACCUGUUUUCUCAGCUCCCCUACAGACUACUCUAGGCAUUACUUUACCUGAGUUCACAAAUGUUCCAGGUCUCUUUUUUAGGCAAGGGACUCUAAAUUUAGUCCAUACUCAUACUUUCAUUCUUACUACGAUGAACUCAUGGGAAAAAACCCAGACCUGAACAUUCAUGUAUGCUCUUCCUUGAGAUGUCAUAUCACCUGUUUUUUUUUUUUUUAAUUUUUAUUUAUUUAUGAGAGACAUAGAGAGAGAGGCAGAGGGAGAAGCAGGCUCCAUGCAGGGAGCCCGAUGUGGGACUCCAUCCUGGGUCUCCAGGAUCCCGCCCUGGACUGAAAGCAGCACUAAACCACUGAGCCACCGGGGCUGCCCAUAUCAUCUGUUUUUAAACAAUUCCUAGGCACCAUACUUAGGUAGGAAUUUCAAAGUUGAAGGUGGGAGGUUGGCUAGUGCGAGAGAAGGGAUACAGUUUUCCAUAUCUUGCCCAAAUUUUUGUGGCUCAAUUAAAAAUCCAAGUUGGGGCACCUGGAUGGCUCACUCAGUUAAGCAUCUGACUCUUGGUUUCAGCUCAGGUCAUGAUCUCAUGGUUGUGAGAUCCAGCCCUAGAUUGGGCUCUGUGCUGAACUGAGUGUGGAGCCUGCUUAAGACUCUCUCCUCCUCCUCUGGCCCUCCCCCCUGCUCAUGCACUUGCUCUCUCUCUCUCUCUCAUAAAUAAAUAAAUAAGUAAAAUUUUAAAAAUCCAAUUCUCCGUAACUAUACGUUCCUAUUUAAGCUCUUAUUCUGUAGGUUACUUUUUCCAUUUGUUACUCAAGCUCAUACAGAUUCCUUCUCACUCUUCUCUCAUGUCUAGUUGGUUAUCAACUCCUUUUAUUUUAUUUUUUUAAAUAUUUUAUUUAUUUAUUCAUGAGAGAGUCAGAGAGAGAAGCAGAGACACAGGCAGAGGGAAAAACAGGUUCCAUGCAGGGAACCUGAUGUGGGUCUCGAUCCAGGGUCUCCAGGAUCACGCCCUGGGCUGAAGGCGGUGCUAAACUGCUGAGCCAUCCAGGCUGCCCUCAACUCCUUUUAAAUUCAGUCUUUCCUCUCCAUCACUACUUCCUAUUUCUUCAGGACGUUGUCAUUUCCUGUCCGCCCAGUUAUAAAGCCUUCUAGGUGAAUUAUAUCAACUCAUAUUUGUUUACUGCAAGUUGAUAAAGGACGAUUUGCCACUUAUCUACAGACUUGCAUCCAAGUGGGACAAGAAGGCAAAGAAGAGACUGAGGCAGAGGAGAUCUAGAAGGAGUUGUAGACAGACAAACCAGGAACAAUCAGCUAUGUGGGUUUUAUAAAUGUGGAUAGAGGGAUUUGAUGUGAUUGAACUAUAAGAGGAAGAAUUUGAGUCCAGUGGGUUUCUUCUCUGAAAACAUAUUGCUCCAAGAUUGCAUUGAUCUGGUAACUAUCUACAAUGCAAAUGUGAUUCCUCAAGAUGGAGAGAGCUAUUCUGUAGCAAUAGCCAAGGAAAUAUUAUGUCUCCAAACCCCCCAUCACAAAGUAUUAGAACUGAGAGUAAUGACCUGGUUAUAAGCUGAGCCCAACCUCUUAGUACUUCAUUGAUGACUCUGGAUGUUGUCAGGGGUUCCAAUCUACAAUCACUUUGCAGUCAUCAUAAUUUUUCACAGGGGAGGGGGAUUAGAAGAUGCUCAAGAUUUCUCUCAGUGCAAUAUACAUGGCCAUUUGCCAUAGGGAAAUAAUGAAGUCAAUGAUGGAAUAAAGUAUAACCACCAAGAUUAUUAUAUUUUACUUCUGAUAAAUGGUGUCAACAAAGCCAAAAUAGAAAGCUGGCUACUACAAGUUUUCAGUUUCCACCAAUUUUUCAGUUUCCACCAACAUGUUCACAUAGGAAGUCCUAUAAUUUUUGAGAGAUUUUAUAUUCAGCCCAGGGCCAAGGAUUCAAAUCUUUCAAUUCUUAAAGUCUAUUGUAGAGAAAGUAGAGUUUUGCUAUAUGAGGACUGAGACUAGUACUUGUGCACUUUUCUUGAUAUCACAACUGGCUUAAUAGUCUUCCCACUAUUUUCCAGAUCCUUUAGCAUCCCUAAGGUACACUUUGGUGCUCUGCUUUCCACCUGUGUAGCUGAGUCACUGGGAUGAUAAGGACCAAGGAAAGAAGAUCCCUCAGGAUGAUACAGAGAGUAUCCCAGGUGGGGAGAAGAUACCAGGUAUAGGAGCUGAGCCUGAACUGGUGCCUGAGGAGAAAAGAGGGGCAUGAGCUUUUAGAGAAGGUCAUUAACCCAGGAGAAUCCCCCAUAAUCUAGCCAUCUCCCGAGUCCUCAAGACCAUGAAAUCAUCAUUCAGAUACAAUGGAUCUACUUGAAUCUCAAGAUGUGAUCGACCUAGGUCCUGCCUUGAGCUGUGUCAACUGUCUUAUAAAUCUGGUUCUAAGGGAUUUUUAUAAAAUGAAAGCUGGUAAAUCUUUGAAACAUAAUAGCUGCCACAACUUAAUAGGACUACGAAUACCUGAUCUUUAGGACUUUCUUAUACUGGCAUGGUUAAUUUUUCCAUAAAUAUGUAGAUUCCAUAGUGCAGGUCCCUGGAAAUAUGGGUGUCUCUUUCUUCAUAUGGCUCAGAGUAGAAGAACCACUUACUUGCAUGAAUGGGGGGGAACUGUUGUCCCCUCAUCUGGAAAGAAGAAGAAUGGGAUCACUGUGUUGAGUUAGCCUGAAAAAGCCAUGGGGUUGCACCUACAUCAGUGGCAUAUUGUUCUCCCUCAUAUCCCAGAAGAUCAGGCAAUAGCCUCUCCUGAAGCUAGAGCACAAUACAGUUAGUCCAGGAAGU
rnacentral:lncRNA from 1 species